UACGGGGGGAGCAAGCGUUGUUCGGAUUUACUGGGCGUAAAGGGCGCGUAGGCGGUCAGCACAAGUCAGUUGUGAAAUCUCCGGGCUUAACCCGGAAAGGUCAACUGAUACUGUGCGACUAGAGUGCGGAAGGGGCAACUGGAAUUCUCGGUGUAGCGGUGAAAUGCGCAGAUAUCAGGAGGAACACCAAUGGCGAAGGCAGCUCGCUGGGACGGUACUGACGCUGAGACGCGAAAGCGUGGGGAGCAAACAGG
rnacentral:rRNA from 1 species